rnacentral:rRNA from 1 species
AGGGAAUCUUCCACAAUGGACGCAAGUCUGAUGGAGCAACGCCGCGUGAGUGAAGAAGGUUUUCGGACCGUAAAGCUCUGUUGUUGGUGAAGAAGGAUAGAGGUAGUAACUGGCCUUUAUUUGACGGUAAUCAACCAGAAAGUCACGGCUAACUACGUGCCAGCAGCCGCGGUAAUACGUAGGUGGCAAGCGUUGUCCGGAUUUAUUGGGCGUAAAGCGAGCGCAGGCGGAAGAAUAAGUCUGAUGUGAAAGCCCUCGGCUUAACCGAGGAAUUGCAUCGGAAACUGUUUUCUUGAGUGCAGAAGAGGAGAGUAGAACUCCAUGUGUAGCGGUGGAAUGCGUAGAUAUAUGGAAGAGUACCAGUGGCGAAGGCGGCUCUCUGGUCUGCAACUGACGCUGAGGCUCGAAAGCAUGGGUAGCGAACAGGAUUAGAUACCCUGGUAGUCCAUGCCGUAAACGAUGAGUGCUAAGUGUUGGGAGGCUUCCGCCUCUCAGUGCUGCAGCUAACGCAUUAAGCACUCCGCCUGGGGGAGUACGACCGCAAGGUUGAAAC